AACAAGAAAGUAAAGUACAUAAACUAAACUAAACUGAACUAAACGCUAAAAUAUGUAUUCGAUAAAAACUUAUGAUACUAAGUGCUAAAUGCAAAACCCAUACAUAUAUGUAAAACUGAAACUAAUUCUUAAUACAUACAUGCAUAUAUAUAUAUAUAUAUGUAUAUAUAUAUAGCUGUGUGUGUGUGCGUUAACUUUUAGGCAUUAGUGUAACUCUUGCGAUGUUUCAGAACCGAAAAAUACGAGAAUUUAAAUAUUUUUAUAUGCAAAGAAUACGAAUGGAAUCGAAUCGAAUCGAAUCGAUAAGCCGAUAGCCAAUAGAACAUGUAGUUAAGGGCAAACAUAAUUGAUAUAACUAAAAACCAACAACAAUUACUGACAAAAACAACAACCAAAGAACGAUAAUCAAAGCGCGCACACAUUUACGAUAUUUAGAUUAGUUUUCGUUUUCUUUUUGGGCACCAAGUCUUAUAGCAUAACCGCUAUCCCCUCACACUCACUCUCUGUAUUACAUACAUACAUAUAAAUUUUCACUUGUAGCAUGUACCUAAGCUAAUAUAUAUACGAGUACAUAGUUAUAUAUUUUAGAUAUCUAAGUGCAUGGGUUAGACAACGAAUUGCCGGGCAACAAACGAGGGAAGAACUUAACAUGACUAAAUUGAAAAGGAACGAAGAGAGAAGCAGUAAGCCAAAGUGGCAGUCGGGUGUCAUCGGCUGCAUAAUACUCGUUUACAGUUCACUUCAGAGAGCUACACCUAACAGGGCUGAAAGUAGUCUCUCUAUUGAUUUCCAGUCCUAAGAACUGAGGCAAUGCACUGAGGCUAUACAUUUCUCUAGACCAAGUCCUUGCACUACGUAAACGAGUAUUGUUAACAAGAAAUGUAAUAAUAUUUUGGCUUGUAAAUUCCCUGGGCCUUAACCUCCCCCCGCGCCAACACAAAACAAAAGGAGAAAGAUUUAAAUGAUCUUUCGAUUAGCAACGAUUUGAUAUGAUUGUCUUUAGCUAACUUAAUCACAUAUGAUGAGAAAUCCAAGCCAACUCACCCAACUUAUACACACUUAAAAAUUUACUUAUUUUCUUAGUAACUUAACCAUGUGUACUGAAUGUUUUUUCUACUUGGUGUCCUUUACAUGAAAACAAAAAGAAAACAUAAAUACUUAUAUAUAUAAAUGGAGAAAGAUCAAGCGAGAGUCUUAAGUGUAAGCGUUCAAAUGAAAUACUUCUUAUAUCAAACCAAGCACACCGAUACAUUUAGCAUAUAUAUAUAUAUAUAACAAUAUCUAACAAUAUGGAGCAUGGCAUACGAUGAGUAUAUCGUAUGUGUGUAUAUAUUAUAUAUCAAGUACUAACUAUAAAGUUAUAUAAACUUAUUCAGAUAUGCGUACCUUUUUAAGCAACUAAUUCAAUGUUAAUGUGAAGAAAACAUAUAUAUCGAUAAAUAUAUAUACAUAUAUAUGUGUACGUGUAUAGGGACUACCCCCAUUUAGAUGCGUUAGGGGAAGGCAUGCAACACACCGUCUCAAGACCAAACCAUUAACUUUAACACAAUGAGCCGCAAAUUUGUAUUUAUAUAUAUACAUACAUACAUAGUAUAUAUAUAGUGAAGAUCGAAGAAAAACAAUCGAGUUACGAUUCAAGCCGUUAAAUAACAGAAUUUUUAGUCAAGUAACAGAGUAACAACAAAUCCCAUUGAUAGAUAAUUUCGAUAAAUAUGAUAUAAGAACUUUUGACUUUUAUGGCUGUUUAGAGAUUUUAUAAUAAAUAUACUUAUGAUAUAAAACAAAUACACACACAAAAUACACCUAUACCUACACACACACAAACAUUGAAUCUUUUGCCCCAUAGAGAACUUUCCCCACUUUUGGUGCCCCAAGACGUGGCAAUCCUCAACUUUAACUCUUAAAAUCUUUUGCUCUUUAAACUCUAUGUCUCUCUCUCUCUAUAUAUAAAAAAAACUCAUAGAUAUACAGCUCCAUGUCUGGAAUCUGGCAUGAUCUAAGCCCCGCCCUACGCUCCGAGCAGCGAUUAUUUGUAGCCUCUAGAGAAAAUACUAACGGCAGAAAGAGAAGGAAAACAAAUUUGAAAAAUGAAAUCAACAAACGAAAAUUGUGAAAUUUAGUGUCUUUACACUUUAAAGAGUAUAUACAAAAUAUAAAAAAUAAUUAAAUAAAAGUAAACUUUACCAAGUCGAAUUGAAUGUAGAUCGGGUUACGGCCACGAAAAUUGUAUGAGAGCAAACUCACAAGCACACACACACACAUAGAGAUACACACACACAGUUAUAGAGAUACGUGAAUACAAAAUACGAAUUACGUCUACAUACAAAUUAUGAUAAAUACUCGUACUUAUGCCUAAAAGGAUAAACGUGUAGCUAAUAUCUAUGAUCAAACAAAA